rnacentral:tRNA from 1 species
GUGCUCUUAUUGGUAGAAUUUAUAUUUUAUGUCGUAGGUUCAAAUCCUACAGAGUACA